GGCAAGAUGGCCGAGUGGUAAGGACUCCUUUAUCCGGAUAUCAGCUUCGGAGGCGUGAGUUCGAACCUCACUCUUGUCG
rnacentral:tRNA from 1 species